rnacentral:rRNA from 1 species
AGAAUCAACGCUGGCGGCGUGCCUAACACAUGCAAGUCGCACGAGAAAGGGGAGCAAUCCCUGAGUAAAGUGGCGCACGGGUGAGUAACACGUGAAUCAUCUACCUCCGAGUGGGGAAUAACCUAGAGAAAUCUGGGCUAAUACCGCAUAACACUUACGAGUCAAAGCAGCAAUGCGCUUGGAGAGGAGUUCGCGGCCGAUUAGUUAGUUGGCGGGGUAAUGGCCCACCAAGACGAUGAUCGGUAUCCGGCCUGAGAGGGCGCACGGACACACUGGAACUGAAACACGGUCCAGACUCCUACGGGAGGCAGCAGUGGGGAAUUUUGCGCAAUGGGGGAAACCCUGACGCAGCAACGCCGCGUGGAGGAUGAAAUAUCUUGGUAUGUAAACUCCUUUCGAUGGGGAAGAUUAUGACGGUACCCAUAGAAGAAGCCCGGCUAACUUCGUGCCAGCAGCCGC